UUUCCGUAGGUGAACCUGCGGAAGGAUCAUUCACAAUUAUUGUUUUUAUGGCUCUUUAAAAUCCGUAUCUACCCUUUGUGCCACGUCUUGAGGUCUUUUUAUCAUUUCCCCUGCUGCAGAAUGUGUGUUCUAAAGCCGCGGAAGGCAAGAGCAGGAGGGUUUGUAUAUCUUAACUCUUGAUCUUUAACAAUUUUGUGUGAAAAUCUAUUGCGAAUUAACUUUCGAUAAAAAUACAACUUUCAACAACGGAUCUCUUGGCUCUC
rnacentral:misc_RNA from 1 species